rnacentral:sRNA from 2 species
UUACCGACUCGGUAGGUGAGGCUACCGCAGGGAUACGGGUUGCUGCCGCGAAGUGAUGGAGACAUCACCAGCAGGCCAGCAGUCCAUGUCGAGUGAAGGCAUGGACUAACGCAACAGCAUCGCCCUGCGAAGCCGAAACUCAGACGACGGGGUCACAGG